GCGACGCUGGCGGCAGGCCUACACAUGCCAGUCGAGACGAACUCUUCGGAGUUAUGUGGCGGACGGGUGAGUAACACCGUGGGAACGUGCCUUUAGGUUCGGAAUAACUCAGGGAAACUUGUGCUAAUACCGAAUGUGCCCUUCGGGGGAAAGAUUUAUCGCCCUUAGAGCGGCCCGCGUCUGAUUAGCUAGUUGGUGAGGUAAAGGCUCACCAAGGCGACGAUCAGUAGCUGGUCUGAGAGGAUGAUCAGCCACAUUGGGACUGAGACACGGCCCAAACUCCUACGGGAGGCAGCAGUGGGGAAUCUUGCGCAAUGGGCGAAAGCCUGACGCAGCCAUGCCGCGUGAAUCGAUGAAGGUCUUAGGAUUGUAAAAUUCUUUCACCGGGGACGAUAAUGACGGUACCCGGAGAAGAGGCCCCGGCUAACUUCGUGCCAGCAGCCGCGGUAAUACGAAGGGGGCUAGCGUGGCUCGGAAUUACUGGGCGUAAACGGGAGCGUAGGCGGACAUUUAAGUCAGGGGUGAAAUCC
rnacentral:rRNA from 1 species